rfam:Octopus bimaculoides Scaffold33956_contig_5, whole genome shotgun sequence.
CUUAUUACAAAAAUGUUAGAUGGUUAGCAUUUCCCUUGACAAAGACUGAAGAGAUAAUCUGAUCUUUCUAACAUGUAUGGGCAUUGCUCUCUACUUCAGAACAACCUAUUCUUAU